rnacentral:rRNA from 1 species
UACAGGGGGUGCAAACGUUGCUCGGAAUUAUUGGGCGUAAAGCGCGCGUAGGCGGCUACCUAAGUCGGAUGUGAAAGCCCUUGGCUCAACUGAGGAAGUGCACCCGAAACUGAGUGGCUAGAGUACGAAAGAGGGUCGCGGAAUUCCGAGUGUAGAGGUGAAAUUCGUAGAUAUUCGGAAGAACACCAGUGGCGAAGGCGGCUCACUGGACUGGUAUUGACGCUGAGGUGCGAAAGCGUGGGGAGCAAACAGG